AAAAAAAGGGCUCUCAAGGCUUACUGCUCUUCAUAACUAUGUCUUUUAUUCUCAGUGUGACUUGUCACAGGGAGUUCGACCAAGGCAACUCUAUAUAGGCUUUACAUCUUCUGCUUCUGUGAAGGACUUCAAAGACUUCAGAUGGAAUUUCAGCUGAGUUUGGUUGGCAACCAAUUCCUGCCCAAAAUUAUCUACUCCCGGAAAACGUCUGCACAUAUAAUGGACACACAAGCUGCAGGUACAGUACAUACU